AGUCACUGACAUUAGAUACCCCCGUAGUCCAGGGUGUAAACGCUGCAGACUUGGUGUUGGAGGCCCUUUGGGGGCAUUCAGUGCCGGAGAGAAGUUGUUAAGUCUGCUACUUGGGAGUAUGUCCGCAAGGAUGAAACUUAAAGGAAUUGGCGGGGGAGCACCGCAACGGGAGGAGCGUGCGGUUUAAUUGGAUUCAGCACCGUAAAACUCACCAGGGAAGACUGUUACAUGAAGGCCGAGAUGAAGACUCUGCUAGAUUUUCAG
rnacentral:rRNA from 1 species